rnacentral:rRNA from 1 species
GACGAACGCUGGCGGCGUGCUUAACACAUGCAAGUUGAACGGGCGAUGUUGGAAGCUUGCUGAAGACUUCGUUAGUAGCGGACGGGUGAGUAAUGCAUGAGGACCCGCCUUCCGGAGAGGGACAACAGUUGGAAACGGCUGCUAAUACCCCGUAUGCCGAGAGGUGAAAGGGAUGGAGACAUGCCGCCGGGAGAGGGACUCAUGUCCUAUCAGCUUGUUGGUGAGGUAACGGCUCACCAAGGCGACGACGGGUAGCCGGCCUGAGAGGGCGAACGGCCACACUGGAACUGAGAGACGGUCCAGACUCCUACGGGAGGCAGCAUG